rnacentral:rRNA from 1 species
AGAGUUCGAUCCUGGCUCAGGAUGAACGCUGGCGGCGUGCCUAAUACAUGCAAGUCGAACGGGAAGCAGCAAUGUUUCUAGUGGCGACCGGGUGCGUAACACGUAGCUGACCUGCCCUUUCGCGGGGGACAACAGUCCGAAAGGAUUGCUAAUACCGCAUACGCUCGGAGGGAUUAGAAGCCUUCGAGGAAACUCACGGGGCGGAAGGAGGGGGCUGCGGCCCAUCAGGUAGUUGGUGAGGUAACGGCUCACCAAGCCGACGACGGGUAGGGGGCCUGAGAGGGUGGUCCCCCACACUGGAACUGACACACGGUCCAGACUCCUACGGGAGGCAGCAGUAAGGGAUAUUGGUCAAUGGGCGAAAGCCUGAACCAGCAACGCCGCGUGGAGGAUGAAGGCCUUCGGGUUGUAAACUUCUUUGGAGGGGGACGAUAAUGACGGUACCCCUCGAACAAGUCACGGCUAACUACGUGCCAGCAGCCGCGGUAAAACGUAGGUGGCGAGCGUUAUCCGGAUUUACUGGGCGUAAAGGGUGUGCAGGCGGGACCUCAAGUGGUGCAUGAAAGCUCUCGGCUUAACCGGGAAAUGGUGUGCCAGACUGAGGACCUAGAGGGUGGGAGAGGGACGUGGAAUUCCGGGUGUAGUGGUAAAAUGCGUAGAGAUCCGGAGGAACACCAGAGGCGAAGGCGGCGUCCUGGCCCACACCUGACGCUCAUACACGACAGCAUGGGGAGCGAACGGGAUUAGAAACCCCGGUAGUCCAUGCCGUAAACGAUGCAGACUAGGCGCUGGAGGUCUCAACCCCUUCGGUGCCGUAGCUAACGCGCUAAGUCUGCCGCCUGGGGAGUACGACCGCAAGGUUAAAACUCAAAGGAAUUGACGGGGGCCCGCACAAGCAGCGGAGCGUGUGGUUUAAUUCGAGCCUACACGAAGAACCUUACCUGGGUUUGACAUGGCCCUGAACGCGGUGGAAACACCAAGGUUCGCAAGACAGGGUCACAGGUGCUGCAUGGCUGUCGUCAGCUCGUGCCGUGAGGUGUUAGGUUAAGUCCUGUAACGAGCGCAACCCCCGGGUCUAGUUACACGGUGUCUAGACCGACUGCCCGCGACAAGCGGGAGGAAGGUGGGGAUGAUGUCAAGUCAGCAUGGCCUUUAUAUCCAGGGCUACACACACGCUACAAUGGCCGGUACAAUGGGUCGCCAAGCCGCA